rnacentral:telomerase_RNA from 1 species
CUCGAGACAGCUCUUAUCAGGGAAGCCAAAAGCCGCGUUUUCUUCGGAUCUCGUUUGAGCCAAGACUCGUAGGCAGUUGUAUAACCCAAACAAACUCACUGAAGAGUGAUCUAUUUACAUGAGUUGAUGUUGACUUUGCCCGUUGGUUCAUUCCAAAAAUUCAACGGGUAUUGAGGCUUUCUCUGUUUUUUUUU